rnacentral:rRNA from 1 species
CCUACGGGAGGCUGCAGUGGGGAAUAUUGCGCAAUGGGCGAAAGGCUGACGCAGCGACGCCGCGUGAGGGAUGGAGGUCUUCGGAUGGUAAACCUCUGUCAGCAGGGAAGAACGGUCACUGUGCUAAUCAGCAGUGAAGUGACGGUACCUGCAGAGGAAGCAACGGCUAACUCCGUGCCAGCAGCCGCGGUAAUACGGAGGGUGAGAGCUUGACUCGGAAUGACUGGUCGUAAAGCGCUCGUAGGCGGUAUGUCAAGUCAAGGGUGAAAUCCCCGCGCUAAACGUGGGAACUGCCUUUGAAACUGGCAAACUGGAGUGUGUGUGCGGAUAGUGGAAU